GGCAGCUGUCCUGUCAGCUGAAUGGACUUCCAGCAGAGAAACAACAGAACCAGGAAACUUUGGAUCAGCUGGAAACAGAGAAGAAAGACCACGAGCGGAAGCUGGUGAGGGAGCAAU